UUCAAAUGCAGUUCUUAUUUCCG
rnacentral:piRNA from 1 species